GCUGGAGGUAUCAGAAGUGCGAAUGCUGACAUAAGUAACGAUAAAGCGGGUGAAAAGCCCGCUCGCCGGAAGACCAAGGGUUCCUGUCCAACGUUAAUCGGGGCAGGGUGAGUCGACCCCUAAGGCGAGGCCGAAAGGCGUAGUCGAUGGGAAACGGGUUAAUAUUCCCGUACUUGGUGUUACUGCGAAGGGGGGACGGAGAAGGCUAUGUUGGCCGGGCGACGGUUGUCCCGGUUUAAGCGUGUAGGUGUGUGUUCCAGGUAAAUCCGGUUCACUUUAACACUGAGGCGUGACGACGAGGCACUACGGUGCUGAAGCAACAAAUGCCCUGCUUCCAGGAAAAGCCUCUAAGCAUCAGGUAACAUCAAAUCGUACCCCAAACCGACACAGGUGGUCAGGUAGAGAAUACCAAGGCGCUUGAGAGAACUCGGGUGAAGGAACUAGGCAAAAUGGUGCCGUAACUUCGGGAGAAGGCACGCUGACACGUAGGUGAAGUGAUUUACUCAUGGAGCUGAAGUCAGUCGAAGAUACCAGCUGGCUGCAACUGUUUAUUAAAAACACAGCACUGUGCAAACACGAAAGUGGACGUAUACGGUGUGACGCCUGCCCGGUGCCGGAAGGUUAAUUGAUGGGGUCAGCGCAAGCGAAGCUCCUGAUCGAAGCCCCGGUAAACGGCGGCCGUAACUAUAACGGUCCUAAGGUAGCGAAAUUCCUUGUCGGGUAAGUUCCGACCUGCACGAAUGGCGUAAUGAUGGCCAGGCUGUCUCCACCCGAGACUCAGUGAAAUUGAACUCGCUGUGAAGAUGCAGUGUACCCGCGGCAAGACGGAAAGACCCCGUGAACCUUUACUAUAGCUUGACACUGAACAUUGAGCCUUGAUGUGUAGGAUAGGUGGGAGGCUUUGAAGUGUGGACGCCAGUCUGCAUGGAGCCGACCUUGAAAUACCACCCUUUAAUGUUUGAUGUUCUAACGUGGACCCGUAAUCCGGGUUGCGGACAGUGUCUGGUGGGUAGUUUGACUGGGGCGGUCUCCUCCUAAAGAGUAACGGAGGAGCACGAAGGUUGGCUAAUCCUGGUCGGACAUCAGGAGGUUAGUGCAAUGGCAUAAGCCAGCUUGACUGCGAGCGUGACGGCGCGAGCAGGUGCGAAAGCAGGUCAUAGUGAUCCGGUGGUUCUGAAUGGAAGGGCCAUCGCUCAACGGAUAAAAGGUACUCCGGGGAUAACAGGCUGAUACCGCCCAAGAGUUCAUAUCGACGGCGGUGUUUGGCACCUCGAUGUCGGCUCAUCACAUCCUGGGGCUGAAGUAGGUCCCAAGGGUAUGGCUGUUCGCCAUUUAAAGUGGUACGCGAGCUGGGUUUAGAACGUCGUGAGACAGUUCGGUCCCUAUCUGCCGUGGGCGCUGGAGAACUGAGGGGGGCUGCUCCUAGUACGAGAGGACCGGAGUGGACGCAUCACUGGUGUUCGGGUUGUCAUGCCAAUGGCACUGCCCGGUAGCUAAAUGCGGAAGAGAUAAGUGCUGAAAGCAUCUAAGCACGAAACUUGCCCCGAGAUGAGUUCUCCCUGAGACUU
rnacentral:rRNA from 1 species